GAUGAACGCUAGCGGCAGGCUUAACACAUGCAAGUCGCGGGGCAGCGGGGGAUGUAGCAAUACAUUCUGCCGGCGACCGGCGCAAGGGUGCGUAACGCGUGAGCAACAUGCCCGUCUCAGGGGGAUAACCGGUGGAAACGCCGCCUAAUACCCCAUGGUGACAUCCGGAGGCAUCUCCGGCUGUCUAAAGCUCCGGCGGAGACGGAUUGGCUCGCGUGACAUUAGCUGGACGGCGGGGUAACGGCCCACCGUGGCUACGAUGUCUAGGGGUUCUGAGAGGAAGGUCCCCCACAUUGGGACUGAGACACGGCCCAA
rnacentral:rRNA from 1 species